rnacentral:lncRNA from 1 species
GUCGGCAGCGAGGUUUUCAUUGUUUCCAUCGGCUUUUUGUUAUGUGUAGUUGGCAUUGGCUAAAACAAAAACUAAGACAAAAAAAAAAAAAAAGCAGAAAGCAAAUUUUGAACUGAGUUAAACAAGAACAACCCCAUUUUUCUACAAUUCUGUCCUGCGGUUCAGAGCAAAACAAAGAAGAUUUCCUGACAUUCCUGACAUUCUUUAGAAAUCAUAGUAGCGAUCAUGUCAAUCAACUCCCAUCAUCAGAAACAGGACAAAAGGGCAGCUGCUGAAACAUUUGGCUGUGCCGAGGGGUAGUGGGCUCGACAUGCUGGAGUUCUGCACAUGACCAGCUUGAGUUUGUAUCCACAGCUACAGGACAGAACUUUAUGGAAACACUUUGCCAAGCCAUGUGGUGCUCGGCUUCCCUUUGCAUCAAUACCCUUUUAAUUACCUGAUCCUGAGGGGGAAAAAGUUAGGGAAAAGUGUCAGUGCAAGAGCCUAGGAACCUGCCGAGAAUCAGACUUCUUUAAAGAAACAGCAUGAUAAAAUGUCUGGCAAUUAUUCUACAGGACAUCGAUAUAAAUCCUGCAACUGGCCUGCAAAGAUGCUCUCUUUUGAAGAAGUCAUAACUGAAAAUGUGGUUGGAACUCAGGACUGCUCUUGCAGUUCAACAUCAGCUGCAGGCCCUUCCCUGGAACACUCCGGAAGUCUGAGGAACCUGCAGGCACCUGUGGUUGCUGGAGCUGUCUUCUCCAGAGGCAGCAGGCAGUUCUCUGUGGAGGGACCCAGAUGGUCUGCAUUCAAGAAUGUAAGAAAGACCCUUAAGCAAGACCUGUCUUUUAUUUUCUCUUGCCCAGUCUUUGGAUUCAUCAUUAGGGUCGCAGGCAAACCCCCGAAAUCUUGCUCUCAGAAUAAAUGUGAAUUUCAUUCAAAGAAAGAACGUGUUCCCAUCAUUGCGUUGUUUUGUGGUCAGGUAGUGCAGAGGAAAAUUUAAGAAGUAUCAAGCCACGUGAUUCCUGGGAAUAGCUGAAAAGAUCCUUCUCAACGUUGAUGGGAAAAGAAAGAAAAACAAAUCAAUUAGAAGUGAGAUCUCAUCAGAUUUCUUAUAUUCUGAGACUGUGUUUAGAGAAGAAAACACGGGAAAUAAAUGGUUCUUGAAUAUGCGCAUAGCAGUAACUUGGUAUUGCACGUAUACUAUCUUAAGUUCAUUAACAAACAAUUGGGUGGCUCCUAAAGCAUCUUAUCUACACAGCACCUACUACAGGUAUAGAAAUAUGCUAGAUAUUGUAAUAAUGAAUACUAUCUGGAAAAUACAGCGAUUUUUAAAAGUCUUAUGGGGGAACUUUGAUGUACCAAGUUUGGCAUACCUAGACUCAUUCUGUAGGCUUAGAUUAAUUUAAAACUACUUUUUUUUUUUUUUUUUGUAAACCAAGGGAAACCUAAUUGAAAUUAUUCUAAAACAAAGGGAGAAAUCCUCAGAAUUUAUCAGUCUUAAGGAAACUGAUCAACAUUUCACCACUGAUCUUGGCACAAAGCACUUUGCACUGGUCCCACCCCAUCAUUAUGUUUCAGUUCUAUUCACCUCUUGAUGCUUUUCUUUUCAUCUGACCCCUAUCCUGACUCCUGUAUUCUCCCAGACUGUCUCCUACUCCCCAAGGGUUUAGUGAAUUUAAAAAGCACACACACAUAAAAAGAUGCUGGAUUCCCAAUACCAGCAUAGCCAAAAGGCAUCUAUCUAGUUCUUUAUUGGACUCUCAUUGGCUGUAACAAAGCACUUCAUACGUAGAUACUGGAUUCCCAAUACUCUAGCAUAGCCAAAAGGCAUCUAUCUAGUUCUUUAUUGGGCUCUCAUUGGCUGUCACAAAGCAUUUCAUAUGUAUAAAGAAAAUACUAUAUUUCUAAUAGAGAGAGAAGAUCUGAGCCUCUCUUCUACUACCUAUACCUCUUCCAUUCUCUAGUCUUGCUCACUUUUCAGUUCUACCCCAAUAUCCCUUGACUGCUAAGUUCCUCCACUUUUCUCUGUGUCUUUUUCUCCCUCACCCAGUUCAGAUGCUCCACAUCUGAUCAUCUUCCCCAGGGUGGCUGUGGCCUUUGGGAUGCAGUCUAGGUGUUAAAGGAAUGAUUAUUCAUUGUGAUCUCC